CCUACGGGCGGCAGCAGUGAGGAAUAUUGGUCAAUGGACGAGAGUCUGAACCAGCCAAGUAGCGUGAAGGAUGACUGCCCUAUGGGUUGUAAACUUCUUUUAUAUGGGAAUAAAACGUUCCACGUGUGGGAUUUUGUAUGUACCAUAUGAAUAAGGAUCGGCUAACUCCGUGCCAGCAGCCGCGGUAAUACGGAGGAUCCGAGCGUUAUCCGGAUUUAUUGGGUUUAAAGGGAGCGUAGGUGGAUUGUUAAGUCAGUUGUGAAAGUUUGCGGCUCAACCGUAAAAUUGCAGUUGAAACUGGCAGUCUUGAGGACAGUAGAGGUGGGCGGAAUUCGUGGUGUAGCGGUGAAAUGCUUAGAUAUCACGAAGAACUCCGAUUGCGAAGGCAGUUCACUGGACUGCAACUGACACUGAGGCUCGAAAGUGUGGGUAUCAAACAGGAUUAGAUACCCCUGUAGUC
rnacentral:rRNA from 1 species